rnacentral:lncRNA from 1 species
CCUCCUCCAGGGGCCAGGGGGUCUGGUUAUAUAGUCCCCUCAAGUGAACCUGGGCCGUCGGAUCAAACCGACAUUGAUUGAACGGUUAUCCUUGAUCCUUUAGGUCGGUGGAGCUUGGUCCGCAAAGUUGAACGUGUUUGACUACAACUCCUGGGCGGAAGCCAAAGGGGGGUGGGCGGGCGCCCUGCCCCCGGGCCCGUUCGCCUUCCCGUUCGUUCCCGUGGCUUCUGGAGUCUUCUAGAUGACGUAAAAUUGCGCGGCACGUUAAUAUCUCUAUGUAAUCCCGACGUGUGGGCCUUUCUUCCGUAUUUCCUGAUAACCCCCUGUAGAAAUAGACAAACACCAAAACUCAUGGAAUUCUGUCAGAUAAAACCCUAAAUCUAGAUGUUGAUUUCAUUUAGAUCAUUUUCUUUGUUUAUUUGAUAAUUAAAUUUGAUAGUUAAGGACCGUCAACAAACUCCCCCAAGCUUACCUCUUGCUCGUCCCUGAGCAAGGAUAGACUCAGCAAUGGAUCAGAAGUUGUUGCAAUAUCUUAAAAAUUUGACGGUACACAUGCUUUUAAAUAAGAUCUCAUCUCUGAGUUUGAGUAAACUGUCAAGAAUUAAAACUUACCUACUUUACCUUUCACCAUGGGACUUGUAACCGUCACUUCUGUCUUGAGUAGUUAAAAGAUAGAGCAGUCUAGGCAAGUGCCAUGUCUCUUAUUCUUGAUCAGCUAUAGCUCUGGAGUUUUUGCAGAUUUUCAAAUAAAACUCAGAGAUUCCUUAUAUGACUCUCUAAAUCUCUCUUUUGUGGUAUUUCUGGAUCCUUACCAAGGCAGUGAUGGUAUAUGCCUUCUCUCAAGAUAUGUGGUAUUUGUGGUAUAAGUCAUAGUGACAUUGCCUUCUCUCUCACCCUACUCUAAUAAGGCUUUAAUAUCUGGAGCUCAUAGAUGGGAGAUAAAGUAUACAUACUUACAAGACAUUUAUUGUAUAGUCAAACCAUGGAUCCAAAGUAACAAAUCAAUAAGCCAAAUCAAGAUGUGCAUGUGUGGCGAAUGAAUGGUGUAUGGUGAUGAUGGUGAUAACAAUGGUGAAAGUCAAAUUCUACUUUUGCUCUUUUGAGGGGAUACAUACCUUCCUUGCUUUUUGAAACUUUAUGAGGAGAAUGAGAUGCUCUUCUUUUUCUUUCCUCUCAGGUGGGUAUCUUGUACCCCUAAUUCUACUGUCGGACACUUGUCCAUUUUUACCUCUCGUCUCACUUUUUCUUUCUUUCCAGGUUCCGGGCACUUGCCCAUUUUUAUUUCCUCGUUUAUUAUUUUUUUCUUUUCUUCUCUUCUCUUUUUUUUCUUUUCAGAGCACUCAUCUCUUGAGAUAAUAUAGCAAGUGGUAGUAGCAAGAUAACUUGAGCAUUUAUUUCACAAGGGAAAACAGAAAUAUUUUUGGCUAUUCUCUCCCGGAUUAGGAGUAGAAUAUUUUUGGGUGGUUUUGGAGAUGGAUAUAUGUGGAUGGUACUUCCAGAGUAGAAGUAGCAUAUAUGAGUGAACGUACAAGUGAAUCUUGAUUUAACCACAUGACAAGCUCCUAAGGGUCUACAUAGCUUGACCACAUUCAAUGCUCAUAAGCAGUAAAUAGUAAAUGUGUGGCUCAAAGUCUAGCAAGCAUGUAUAUAUGGCUGUGGUAGGAAUUUAAACUUUCAUCAUACAGGAACUCAUCAUGCAAUAUUUUAAAGAUUUUUCAAAGAUAAAAUUCUCCAGAAUUCUAGCAUCUCUAGAAACAGAUAAACAGCAGCUCAACCUUCCCAUAUCAUAUCCGCUAACAACUUAGAUUUCAGAUCAAGUUUUCAUCCCACAAGUUUAGAUCUAGAGCAAGCUUUAAAUUAUAACUGUUAUGUCUAAACUUGAGAGAAAACUUCAAAUUUGCAAAUUAGGCAGAGCAACUAUUCAUCAUAUCCAUGCUAGAGUUUUAUUAUUAAGAUUCAGAUUAGCAUAGCCACUUUAUUUAUUUAUUAAACACACUAAGCAAAAGAUAUAUAUAUAAGCACAAAAUUUUUAUUUGGUUUUUCAUAGUUUAUGUAUUUUAAUAUUCUAAUAUAAUAUAAGUAUAAAGAUAGGUAGAAAUACUUAGCGAGAUAAAUGGGGGUGCUCUCCCCCAAGCUGAAUUUUGACGUAAUUUCUCUUGAUGUAGCUAGCAGGUGGCAGAGGUGUAUUUGAAAGUCAGCAGCAUUCUGACAGUGAUUAGAAUGUCCUCCGUCUGCUAGUCUUCUUGAUUCUUAAAUUCUGUGGAGCUCAAAUAGACAACAAAGCUUGUGGAACUAAUUAAGUGUUAGCAUAAAUAUCUAGCCUUCAUCAUGUUGAGCUUCCUCAAUAAAUAUUACUCCCUAUUUUUGUAUUUUUAUUUUAUAAGCAGAAAAAAAAUAUUUAUUUUAUUUUUAUGCCACCACAGUGAAGGUACUUAUGGGUUUUAUGCCACUCGUAUACUCACAUGGGGCUUAGUAUUUUUUAACAUUUCUAUUUUCUUUUCAAGAUAGCAUGAUUAACUAAUAAUCUAUUUAAGGAAAGUAAAUAAUUAAAGGCAAAAGGGAAUGCAGAAAGGAUAAAUAUGGAUAACUACCGAUCUUACCUUUCGGCGAGGGUUCAAUGUUUUAAGUCUUCUUAACAAGACUUCUCACCGUGUUCAUUCUUCAGGUGCGUCAUUUGAUUCAGGUGCGGACCUUGACGUCUGCACCUCUUCGUUUGCCUAGCAGUUCGAAGUGCGGUGUUGGCAGUAUCCUGCUCAGUGUGUUUGUGCUCGUAGAUCCAGGUCCUUUACUUGGUAGAGUCUGAGAGUUAUAGAACUCCUCCGUGUUUUGCUCGAAGUGUACCUGCUCAUAGAGACAAGGCAGAGAUCAUGUGCAUGGGUCCUGUUGGUGGAAAACACCAACAGAACCUAAAGUGUAUUUGUUCUUCUCUAACCCUAAGCAUAGUGAGCAAGACAAAGUUGAUGGAUGAAAAGUUCAUGAGUGUAGCACUUAUAACAUUUGUCAGAUCAGAUCGCUCAACCUUAUGGAAAGAUAAUCUAUCUAUGUAUAUGUCUUUUUUUAUAUCUCUCAAUGAUUGAAUGUGUAACAUUUUAGCUCAUAUGAUUAGGAGUGUGGGAUCAUGGAGGUAGUACUAAGAACAAGGAUUAAAGGACUAAACAUGUUGAAUC